CCUACGGGUGGCAGCAGUGGGGAAUAUUGCACAAUGGGGGAAACCCUGAUGCAGCGACGCCGCGUGAGUGAAGAAGUAUUUCGGUAUGUAAAGCUCUAUCAGCAGGGAAGAAGCAAGACGGUACCUGACUAAGAAGCCCCGGCUAACUACGUGCCAGCAGCCGCGGUAAUACGUAGGGGGCAAGCGUUAUCCGGAUUUACUGGGUGUAAAGGGAGCGUAGACGGUAUGGCAAGUCUGAAGUGAAAGCCUAGGGCUUAACCCUGGGACUGCUUUGGAAACUGGUAGACUAGAGUGCUGGAGAGGUAGGUGGAAUUCCUGGUGUAGCGGUGAAAUGCGUAGAUAUUAGGAGGAACACCGAUGGCGAAGGCGGCUUACUGGACAGUAACUGACGUUGAGGCUCGAAAGCGUGGGGAGCAAACAGGAUUAGAUACCCCAGUAGUC
rnacentral:rRNA from 1 species